rnacentral:lncRNA from 1 species
ACUGCCCAACUGCCACUGCCCAGCCUGAUGGCUCCACAUCUCAGGAGUAGGCUCUGAUUCCUUGGGGCCCCAGGAGCCUCUCAGGAGUCUACAUCCCAAGAUGUUCUAACUUCCAGAGUCUCCAAGCCCAUCAAGAGCAAGUUUUGCUAAAAGUGUUCUGAGAGCUUAUGAAGCACAUGGACAAGGAAGGGUUGUGCAUCCGGCUUUCCACCUUAAACUGGUUUCUAUGGUGCUUCAUCGAUGAGAUAAGGAUGCAUAGGAGACCCCAGGCCAGGAGUUCCUUCAGGACACACUGUCCUAGGCCUGGGCCCUGGAGGAGGACAUGGUGAUGAGGCACCCUGAGGCCUCCAUGGGGGAACUGAGAAGCAUGCACUGUGACCUGCACACCCAGCCAAACCUGAGCAAGCACCCCCACCACCCAGGCCUCUGCAGAUAUCCCCCAGCAUUGAGACCCUCCCCAAGGGGAUGGGCUGCUUCUCCCUGGCCCACAGCCCAGCUCCAGCAGCCCAUGGGUAUAGCCCUCCUGAAACAGGAGCCUCAUCCUCCCUCACCCUCACCUGGCUAUGCUGUACCCAAGGCCAAAGCCCAGAGGCAUAAGGGAGCUUCUGCAGAGCCCAGGACAGCAGGCUGCUCUCUGGGGGCCCUGGGGACUCAGAGUGUGGCCAGCCCAUCCCCAGCUCAGGAUAGACCACAGAGUGCUUGGUGAUUCCUGCAUUGGAACUCCCUCUCUAAGCUCCCCAUGGACCUGGACCUCAGAGGCCUGUGGUUUUCACAGUAGAGCUUGGAGCAGAGAUGCUAGGCCCCUAUCACUUCCAUAUGUGUCCUGGACACCUCUAAGAUCAUAGGACUGGCCUAGCCCCCAAUACCAGACACUGCCCAGUCCCCUGAUAGCCCAGAGGUAGGGCCAGAGACAACUCUCCUGCAUGUGAUGCCUACAGCUGAUCACUCUUGGCAGACAGUGAACAUCACGGCCCAGAAGGAGCCAGGGCAGCACUUGGCAAGCUGCCCCAAAGCCCCAGAGAGCUCCUUAGACAUGGAAAGUCAAUACUGAUGGGGAAGCUGGACACUUGGAGGCCACUGGAGGGAGGGGUGAGCAUGGUGUCCCCACAGCCCAGGCCACCCAGCAGCAUGCCCUGCAUCCAUGGUCCCAACCUGUAGGGCAGAACCCCCCUCUCAACGCACAAUUCCUAGACCCAGAGGGCCCUAGCCCAGACUCAACCUGAGCCCUGAAAGGGAAGGGGCACCAGGGGUGCCUUGGGGCCUCCAGCAGCAGCCAAGAUACACAGGAGAUGGAGCCCCCUGUGGCCCUGGCCAGAACUAGUAUUUGGCUUAAGGCGGAGCAAGCCCCCUUGGAGCACUGCGUACAUACCCGGGGCCUAUGUGUGCCUGGCAAGGCCAAGCUGAUGAUGUUACCAAGCUCAAACUACCACUGGCCACCUUGGUGAGGGUGGGGCAGAAACACGUGGACCAGCCACCAACCUCAUCCAUUCAAGGAAGCAGAAAUGGUCAGGCUCCUGCAGGAUAAGUGGCCACCACCAGACCACCAAUGGGGCAGAGUUCUGAGGCCCAAGCAGAUGGCACUGGGGCCCUGCUUCCAGGGUCCACAAUCUGCUCCAGGACACAAGACUGAAGAAAACUAAGCAAAUGAGAGUCCAGGAGGCUGGAUCCCUCAUCUGCCAUUCUUGGCAGUUGCAUUUUGUGGUCAGAAAAAGUCAGGAAACUUGGCUCUACUCACUGCAGGAGGCUCCAAGGUGGGACCAGAGCUUCCAGCAUAGAUUCAACAAUGCCUAAGAAUGCCUCUUCUUGGGGAAAAGGACCCCUUCCUUGGCCUCAAAGCCCCCACUUAUUUUGAUUAAAGCACAAUAAAGUCUUUGUUGUUA